AUGAAACUGAUCGGUUGGAACUGCUGGGGUUUGGGAAAUGGCCCAGCAGUCCGUAGCCUCCUCGAGCUGGGGAGGGUAGAGGAGCCCGAUGUUAUUUUUCUUGCGGAGACGAAGUUGUCCGAGAAGGAGUUGGGGUGGUUUAGGUGGAUGUUAGGGAUGGCGCAUAUGACUGCGUGGAGUUCGUAA
rnacentral:rRNA from 1 species